rnacentral:rRNA from 1 species
CCUACGGGUGGCAGCAGUGAGGAAUAUUGGUCAAUGGUCGGGAGACUGAACCAGCCAAGCCGCGUGAGGGAGGAAGGUACAGAGUAUCGUAAACCUCUUUUGUCAGGGAACAAAGGCGGGGACGUGUCCCCGGAUGAGUGUACCUGAAGAAAAAGCAUCGGCUAACUCCGUGCCAGCAGCCGGGGUAAUACGGAGGAUGCGAGCGUUAUCCGGAUUUAUGGGGUUUAAAGGGUGCGCAGGCGGUCUGUUAAGUAAGCGGUCAAAGCCCGGGGCCCAACCCCGGCCCGCCGUUGAAACUGGCAGUCUCGAGUUGGAGAGAAGUAUGCGGAAUGCGCGGUGUAGCGGUGAAAUGCAUAGAUAUCGCGCAGAACUCCGAUUGCGAAGGCAGCAUGCCGGCUCCACACUGACGCUGAGGCACGAAAGCGUGGGUAUCGAACAGGAUUAGAUACCCGGGUAGUC